AGAGUGGUAGUAGUUAUCCUUAGAAGAAUUUUUGAAAGCAUUUUUCCUUGCAAGUUGAUUUUCAAUUUUGCUAGCAAGGUGCACCACAUUUUCCAAAGAAGAAUAUUCUUGUAACUCUACCACGUCUUGAAUGUCCCUUCGAAGGCCACUCACAAACCUAGCUAUCUUAGCUUCCUCACUCUCAUCCAUAUUAAGUCGAAUUAAAAGCGUGUCUAGUUGUUUAAAGUAAUCAUCCACACUUAGCGUGCCUUGAUGAAACCGUUGGAGUUUCAACAUUAGGUCUUUCCUAAAGUGUGGGGGUACGAAUCUAGCGCGUAAACAUGCUUUCAAAUCGUUCCAAG
rnacentral:lncRNA from 1 species